rnacentral:lncRNA from 1 species
UUCAUCCAUUCAUUAUCAAAACCACCUCCCAUUCUCCUCCGACUUAACCAAAUCAAUCGCACUAAUCGAACCGUUGUUAAACCAUCAUCAUUUCAAGUAAGAUCGAUCAUGGGUUUCUUGUCACGAAGGAAGAUGUCGGACGCCGUAGUGGUUUACUCGAUUUUAUUGGUUUUGGUUAUUCUAUCAGCAUCGGUUUUCCAGUAUGGUGAAACGAGACCACUGAAGGAAGAUGGUGGCAACGACAAUUUGUUUAUAGUACUACAGUCUCUACAGAAAGGUCCGGUUAGCGGGUCGGGUCCGAACCCAUGCACCAACAUCCCCGGUCGGAACCCAGGAUCAUGUUAGAUCAUAAGUUGCUUUAUUUAGCUUUUGAUUUUGAUUUAUGGUACAGAUACGGAUGUAAAAGGUUCGACAGUACACCUUGGUAUCUUAUAGCAAAAAUGAUUAUGUAUUAACUGUUAAUUAGCUGCUUAGUUAAUUAACUGUACGUGUAAUUUACUAUUUUUUUUUAUCUUUUUCAUUUUUCGUAACACAGUUUAGAAAUAGUAAUAAUUAUUGGAGGAAAUGCAAACAGUAUAUGUUGUAUUUCUAACUUCAUUUUCUUUUACUUGAUCUUAUUUACUUGGUUGAAAUCAAUGACCUAAUCUUCCACUACGUAGCAACUCAUUCGGUAGAUUUUAGGAGGGAAUAAAAGACAUUGAUUUGUGAUGUGGCUCCCUAUAAAUAGGGUAUUUAGCCCCGCGAUUUGAAGAAAUCGAUUUCCCUUCUUUGUUGAUCUAUAUAAUAAGUUUCUGACCAAAACUCC